GGGCCCAUAGCUCAGUUGGUUAGAGCAGGGGACUCAUAAUCCCUUGGUCGCAGGUUCGAGUCCUGCUGGGCCCAC
rnacentral:tRNA from 1 species